GUCUACAGCCACCCUACCUAGAAUGAGCCUGAUCUUGUCUGAUCUUGGAAGCUAAGCAGGGUCAGACCUGGGUAGCUCUUGGAU
ensembl:rRNA 5S_rRNA 5S ribosomal RNA